rnacentral:rRNA from 1 species
GACGAACGCUGGCGGCGUGCUUAACACAUGCAAGUCGAACGGAAAGGCCCUGCUUUUGUGGGGUGCUCGAGUGGCGAACGGGUGAGUAACACGUGAGUAACCUGCCCUUGACUGUGGGAUAACUUCAGGAAACUGGGGCUAAUACCGGAUAGGAGCUCCUGCUGCAUGGUGGGGGUUGGAAAGUUUCGGCGGUUGGGGAUGGACUCGCGGCUUAUCAGCUUGUUGGUGGGGUAGGGGCUUACCAAGGCUUUGACGGGUAGCCGGCCUGAGAGGGUGACCGGCCACAUUGGGCCUGAGAUACGGCCCAGACUCCUACGGGAGGCAGCAGUGGGGAAUAUUGCACAAUGGGCGGAAGCCUGAUGCAGCAACGCCGCGUGCGGGAUGACGGCCUUCGGGUUGUAAACCGCUUUCGCCUGUGACGAAGCGUGAGUGACGGUAAUGGGUAAAGAAGCACCGGCUAACUACGUG